rnacentral:piRNA from 1 species
CAACAUGACUCAGCUCUGGAAGGAAG